GUUGUGCACAGGGUCACUAUGGGUGGGAAAUGACUUGAUGGCUCCUAACAACAACAACAACAACAACAACAACAACAAACAGAGAUUAGCACGGUCCCUGCUCAAGGAUGACACCCAAAUCCGUGAAGGGUUCUAUUUUUAU
rnacentral:snRNA from 1 species